AGCGAACGCUAGCGGCAGGCCUAACACAUGCAAGUCGAACGGACCCUUCGGGGUUAGUGGCGGACGGGUGAGUAACACGUGGGAACGUGCCUUGAGGUUCGGAAUAGCUCCUGGAAACGGGUGGUAAUGCAGAAUGUGCCCUUCGGGGGAAAGAUUUAUCGCCUUUAGAGCGGCCCGCGUCUGAUUAGCUAGUUGGUGAGGUAAUGGCUCACCAAGGCGACGAUCAGUAGCUGGUCUGAGAGGAUGACCAGCCACAUUGGGACUGAGACACGGCCCAAACUCCUACGGGAGGCGGCAGUGGGGAAUCUUGCGCAAUGGGCGAAAGCCUGACGCAGCCAUGCCGCGUGGAUGAUGAAGGUCUUAGGAUUGUAAAAUCCUUUCACCGGUGAAGAUAAUGACUGUAGCCGGAGAAGAAGCCCCGGCUAACUUCGUGCCAGCAGCCGCCGUAAUAC
rnacentral:rRNA from 1 species